rnacentral:rRNA from 1 species
CCUACGGGAGGCAGCAGUGAGGAAUAUUGGUCAAUGGCCGGAAGGCUGAACCAGCCAAGCCGCGUGAGGGAGGAAGGCGCAGAGCGUCGCAGACCUCGUUUGCCGGGGGACAAAAGGCCGGACGCGUCCGGUCCUGAGGGGACCCGGUGAAAAAGCAUCGGCAACCUCCGUGCCAUCAGCCGCGGUAAGACGGGGGAUGCGAGCGUUAUCCGGAUUCAUUGGGUUAAAAGGGAGCGCAGGGGGGCCGUUAAGCUGGCGGUGAAAUCGCGGGGCUCAACCCGGCCGAGCAGUCGGAACUGGGGGCCUUGAGUGCGGCGGAGGAAUGCGGAAUGCGAGGUGUAGCGGUGAAAUGCAUAGAUAUAGCGCAGAACCCCAGUUGCGAAGGCAGCGUGCCGUGCCGCCACUGACGCUGAGGCACGAAAGCGCGGGGAUCGAACAGGAUUAGAUACCCGAGUAGUC